rnacentral:lncRNA from 1 species
GAGACUGAGCUCAGUCUCUGUGUACGUGUGUGGUGUGGGGGGUCUCGAAUCUCGAUCUCUGUGUGCGUGUGUGGUGGCGUGUGAGAAAAAAAAGCAUCCAAUGAUCCAAAUAAUUCAAAACCUGUCUCUAGCUCUCUGAUCCAAUGAUCCAAAUAACUUUUUGCAAUUUCAGACCAUGGACAACAAAUAAUAGUGCUUUCAUAAUGAAACCGUGUACCACUGUGAGUCUGUGAUAUUCUUUCAUAUGCAAAACAAUGUGCCAUUGUCUGUUAUAUUCUUUCACCUUAUCAGAGGUGGAGUAUUAGAGGCAUUCAGAGCAUUUUCGUUUCUUCUUCUUCCCUUACCAUUUUCAAAGCCAUUCCAGAUCCAUUCCAAAGCUUGAACACAAAGGGUUCCAUAUUUAAGGUAAGUUUACAAAUUUAUAUUUAUAUUAUUGUAAUUUAUACAACAACAAAUAAAUUUGUGUGGACUCGUAUG